GUUUGAUGUUAAAAAUACUUUUUUUGCAUGGAGAUUCAAAAGAUGAGAUAUACAUGGAGAUUCCUCCAAGAUUUGAGAAUGAAAAAACCAAGGGAAAAGCCUGUAAAUUGAAGGAGGCAUUAUAUGGUUUGAAGCAGUCACCAAGAGCAUGGUUUAACAUAUUCAAUAAAGGCAUGAUUUCCUUUGGUUUCUAUCAAAGCAAUAUCGAUCAUACUCUAUUUAUAAAACAUCAUAGAAGUAAGAUUACACUGCUUAUUAUCUAUGUUGAUGACAUAGUCGUGACAAAAGAUGAUAAGGAAUAGAUUGUCCAUUUUAAGGAACGAUUGGCUCAGGAAUUUGAGAUUAAGGACUUAGGUAAGUUGAGGUACUUCCUUAGAAUACAAAUUCCCAGAUCAGACAAAGAGAUUUUCAUGUCUCAAAGCAAGUACAUAUUGGAUCUCCUCGAUGAGAUUUGCACACUGAGCUGUAAACAAGUAGAAUCUCCUCUUGAAACUAAUCACAAGCUACACCAAAAUCCCAGCUGUCUGA
rnacentral:misc_RNA from 1 species